rnacentral:rRNA from 1 species
GGAUGCAAUCGUCUUCUUGUUAAUUCUGACAAUAUGGAGGUGAUUGAAGUAAUGAAAAAUGAAGGACAUUCGGCAGGAGCGGCGGCAGCAGUGUUCGAUGAUUGCUAUUUCAUAGCUUGUGAUUUUCUGCUUGUUAGAUUUGAACAUUAUAAUAGGGAAGCAAAUAAGGUGGCUCAUGAAAUUGCUAGGCUAGCAAAAUUUUCAGUCACUACGGACUGAUUUAAGGAGCCUAUGAGGGAUAUUGUUCAUUUACUUAUUGACGAUGUAACUAUUAUUUCUAAUUAA